CCUACGGGCGGCAGCAGUGGGGAAUAUUGGGCAAUGGAGGCAACUCUGACCCAGCAACGCCGCGUGAAGGAUGAAGGUCUUCGGAUUGUAAAGUUCUUUUCUAAGGGAAGAAGAAAGUGACGCUACCUUAGGAAUAAGCCUCGGCUAACUACGUGCCAGCAGCCGCGGUAAUACGUAGGAGGCAAGCGUUAUCCGGAAUGACUGGUCGUAAGGGUGGCGUAGGUGGUUCAACAAGUUAGUAGGGAAACUCCGGAGCUCAACUUAGGACCUACUACUAAAACUGUUGGACUUGAGUGCAGGAGGGGCAAUCGGAAUUCCUAGUGUAGCGGUGGAAUGCGUAGAUAUUAGGAGGAACACCAGUGGCGAAGGCGGAUUGCUAGACUGUAACUGACACUGAGGCACGAAAGCGUGGGGAGCAAACAGGAUUAGAUACCCGUGUAGUC
rnacentral:rRNA from 1 species